rnacentral:lncRNA from 10 species
UCUAACAGCUUUGUUGAGGUAUAUCUGAAAUAUGAUAAAAUGCACAUAUUUAAAGAACACCAUUUGAUAAGUUUUGAUAUAGGUAUCCACCUGUGAAACCAGCAGUCCCCUCUCAACCAUCCCCAGGCAGCCACUGUAGACAAACUACAUUUUCUAGAGUCUUACAAAGAUGGAAUCAUAUGCUAUACUCUUCUUUUUCUUGUUGGCUUCUUUCACUCCGCAUAAUUAUUUUGAAAUUCGUCCAUGUUGUUGCAUUUAUUGACAAGUCAUUCCUUUAUAUGGCUGUUAACUCUUCCAUUUAAUUCACUCUAACUUAACUUAGCUAUAAUAGAGAGCUGUCAAGAUCAAGAGAAUUUUAGAAUAAGCAGGAGCCUCAACUACUUACAUCUUCUUUUUCUUCGGCAUCCACCUGGGCAGUAUAUUUAUCCUCUGGCACGGGAACCUUCAGCGCAUUAAACUACAAACACAAGGGCACGGGAACCUUCAGCGCAUUAAACUACAAACACAAGGACAGUGAGUCGUCGCCAAUACACCCAGGAGCUCAAAGGGCUGGAAGCUACGAAUCCUUAAAGGUCAUACUGAAAGACAUUCUGUGUCCCAAGCGGAAACGAAUACGCAUCUCAAUACUGGAGUAGAAAGAAUAUUAGACUGGGAACAGGAGCUCAAGGGUCUUCUCAGCCCUAUCACUAACUCGGAACCCUGGACAAUUCUUUAUGAUGAUAAGCUUCAUUUUCUUCAUCUGAAAAGGACAGCUGGACUUGAUGACCAAAAAAUGGCCUCUUAGCACCUUGAAUUGUAAAGAAAUUCUGAUUUCUCUUCUGCAUGGAACCCUAGGGAGCUGACUGGUGGAAGGAGCACUGCGUAAUGAAUGGUCUCCUUAGAAGACUGCUUAGUGUUAGCCGGGUGCGGUGGCUCAUGCCUGUAAUCCCAGCACUUUGGGAGGCUGAGGCGGGCGGAUCACCUAAGGUCGGGAGUUCGAGACCAGCCUGACCAACAUGGUGAAACCCCGUCUCUACUAAAAAUACAAAAAUUAGCUGUGCAAGGUGGCCAGCACCUGUAGUCCCAGCUACAUGGGAGGCUGAGGCAAGAGAACUGCUUGAACCUGGGAGGCGGAGAUUGCAGUGAGCUGAGAUGGCCCCACUGCACUCCAGCCUGGGCGACAGAGCAAGACUCCGUCUCAAAAAAAAAAAAAAAAGACUGCUUAGUGUUAUGGCUCCAGCACUUAACACUACCUGGCACAGAGUAGGCCCUCCAUACACAUCUUUGAAUGAAUAAGCAAAUGAACUCUGGAUAUUGAGACUUGUGUAAAUAUCAGAGGAGGAUAGAUGGAUGAGAAAUUACAGCUAUAAGGGACAGUUAAAAAAAGCAGAGGCUGGGCAUGGUGGCUCACACCUGUACUCCCAGCACUUUGGGAGGCCAAGGAGGGUGGAUCACCUGAGCUCAGGAGUUCGAGACCAGUCUGGGCAACAUGGCGAAACCCCGUCUCUACCAAAAAUACAAAAAAUUAGCCAGGCAUGGUGGUGCUGUGGUCCCAGUUACUCGGGGGGAUGAGGUGGGAGGAAGGCUUGAGCCCGGGAGAAAGAGGUUGCAGUGAGCUGAGAUGGCGCCACUGCACUCCAACCUGAGUGACAGAGUGAGACUCCAACUCAAAAAAAAAAAAAAAAGAAGAGCAGAGAGGUGGAUUGCCUGAGCCCAGAGUUUGAGACCAGCCUGAGCAAUAUGACAAAAACCUGUCUCUACCAAAAAAAAAAAAAAAACAAAACGAAAAUUUAUCAGGUGUGGUGGUGGCAUGCACCUGUAGUCCCAGCUACUCAGGAGGCUAAGACAGAAGGAUGGCUUGAGCUUGGGAGGCAGAGGCUGCAGUAAGCUGAGAUUGCGCCACUGCACUCCACCCUGGGUGACAGAGCAAAACUCCGUCUCAAAAGAAAAAGGACAGGAAAAGAGUAGAAAAAAAGUCAGUUUGUUCCAAAGGGAGACAGGAAGGAAGCUAAAAGGAACCCAGGAGGUGGGCAAACAUUUAACUUGAAAGCCCCCUGGGGCGUGGUGGCGCAUGCCUGGCUGAGGCACGUGGAUUGCUUGAGCCCAAGAGUUCUGGGCUGUAGCGCGUUAUGCCGAUCGGGUGUCUUCACCAAGUUCAGCAUCAAUAUGGUGACCUCCCAGGAGCGGGGGACCACCAGGUUGCCUAAGAAGGGGUGAACCGGCCCAGGUCAGAAACAGAGCAGGUCAAAACUCCUGUGCUGAUCAGAAAGCCCUCUGGCUCCCAGAUUAAGGCUACACUCUACUGCUGAAUGAACAGAGCCUAAAUUCCUGCACCUAUUUACAGUUCAAUCGACCACAAGGCCUUUGGCCAUACGCAUCCUUCCUAAGCUUCCUUAGGGAUCUGGCUGUCAUGCUGUGUAUGUAAUUAUCCCUGUUCCUGCUCCCUACCCACAGGCAUGUUACAAGCUCAGUGCUUUAGAGGUGUGAAGUCUCACCUUCUUCUCAAAGUCAUCCACCAAGCCAGCCUUGGCCACAUUGGCCUUGUAGUAAGCCCAGUCGAUAGCUGGUGGAUUCUCAGGUAAAGCAGCCAACCUGCCCACAAGGAAAGGCAAAAGUUAGGAUUGUUCAUAAGCAGUAGAAAAUUCACAUGGUAAUUUUCCUAUCCCUUCUUCCUAUGGCCUGGAGGGUCACCACACUUUCCUCUCCUAAGAUCAUCAUGAAAAUGCAAGGAUUUCUUUAUAUGUUGUCAUAAGGGCAUCAAGAAUUCAUAUGUAAUUCCUUAAUACUGUUUUGUUUCUAGAUUCAGUGGCAAGUAUGGGGUUCCCUCUCAGAAACAUACUGACCUGGAGGUGAGGGUCUCAUUCCAGGAUUUCAGGGAACUAGCAAUGGCCUUUUGGUUCUGGGGUAUGAUCUCUGCAAAAGCUACCCAGUCAAUGGUUUUUAGAGCAAGUUUUCGCCCAGCCAUUUUGGGAUCCUGAAAAAUAAGUCAAAUAAAAACAAGGCUUUUUUAUGAGGUGAAUUUUCAGUUGGGAAAAAUGAUAAAUAACAAAAUAAGAGCUCUUAGAGAGAAUCCUUUAAAUCUUAGAAACAUGCAAGUCUUCACAAGAAUCACUUGAACCCAGGAGGUGGAGGUUGCAGUGAGUCGAGACUGCAUCACUGCACUCCAGCCUGGGAGACACAGCAAGACUCCAACUCAAAAAAAAAGAAAAAAAGACAGUGUAGCUUUUCAAAUUCAAGGUAAUUCAAGGUGUGCGGCCAGGCGCAGUGGGCUCACGCCUGUAAUCCCAGCACUUUGGGAGGCCAAGACGGUUGGAUCACCUGAGGUCAGGAGUUCGAGACCAGCAUGGCCAACAUGGCAAAACCCCAUCUCUAUUAAAAAUACAAUAAUUAGCCAGCCGUGGUGGCCCGCGCCAUAAUCCCAGCUACUCCAGAGGCUGAGGCAUAAGAAUCACUUGAACCCAGGAGGCAGAGGUUGUAAUGAGCUGAGAUGGCAUCAGUGCACCCUAGCCUGGGCAACACAGCAAGAGUCCGUCUCAAAAAGAAAAGGAAAGGACAGUGUAGCUUUUCAAAUUCAAAGUGUGCAAUGUGGCAUACAAAUACAUUCUCUCCCAACUCCUAUUUAGCCUUAAAAGCCCAGCUCUCUUGGCCGGGCGCAGUGGCUCAUUUCUGUAAUCCCAGCACUUUGGGAGGCUGAGGUGGGUGGAUCGAAAAAUACAGAAAACGACUACAGCCACUUAAAAAAAAAGUCAGAAUAUAGGAAAAUAGUCCUCUUUAAGUAAGAUCAGGGUCAGAUAUUAAAAGACUGCAAAGUCAAAAAUCUCUAUAAGCUUGGAGUGGAAUGCAAGGGAGGCGGAAGCAGUCUUUCUCAGGAUCUUCCUGAUUUCCCGCAACAUCAGUGGAAAAUGGAAGUCACAAAUAACUUUGUGUGUGUGUGUGAGUGAGACGGAGUCUCGCACUGUCGCCUGGGCUGGAGUGUAGUGGCGUGGUCUCGGCUCACUGCAACCUCCGCCUCCCGGGUUCAAGCGAUUCUCCUGCCUCAGCCUCCCGAGCAGCUGGGAUUAUAGGGGCCUUCCACCACGCCCAGCUAAUUUUUUGUAUUUUUAGUAGAGACUCCUUCCCACACUGCGCCCACCUGCACCCACGAGAACGCACUCCACACCCCUUCUCCAUAUUCUCUGCCCCUGACAUCCCACUGAGAUCUGCAUGAGUUUUCCCUGGCUCCUCUUCAGUCCCCCCACUGCCGGUGCCAGAUGCAUCCAGAACUGGGUCAGGGUUAGCUCAGGCAUCCUUGUAGCUUUCUCAGACUCCCUCUCGGACCCCUCUGCCAAGUUGGGCUUCCACAGCUGCAGGAAGCGCUCCUUGUGAUAUCACACUGCUUUUCUAUAGUCCUGGUCGCAGAACUUUUAUCUGUUAACAGUCACUGGUUUAGGUCCAUAUUUAGAUCAAAUGCGUUUUUUGGA